CCUAGCGGUUAGAAUCGUAAGAAAACCUUGCGAUUGAGAUACAGGUAAAAGAAAAGUGGACUAACGGAGGCUGGAGGACAAUGCUAUGGAGGUGUGUGUGUGCAAGGGGUUUGGAAUAAAGAUCCUAGGGGUCGAAACAGCUUAAUUCCAGUAUUUACGUUGUUAGUUU